rnacentral:tRNA from 1 species
AAAUUAUUAAUUAAACUAAUAAAAUAUAAGUUUUAGAUAUAAAAAGUAGAUUUUUUAGGAUAUAUAAUAUAAUUAAAUAAAAUAUAAAUAAAAAAGUCUAAAAUAAAAGUAAUAAAAAACUAAUUAAUACUAAAAAAUAUUAUUAUUUAAUUAUACUAGCUUACUAUUUAUAGCUUUAGUACCUCUAUUAUUUA